AUUGAACGCUGGCGGCAGGCUUAACACAUGCAAGUCGAGCGGAGCGAGGGUGCUUGCACCUUAGCUUAGCGGCGGACGGGUGAGUAAUGCUUAGGAAUCUGCCUAUUAGUGGGGGACAACAUUCCGAAAGGAAUGCUAAUACCGCAUACGCCCUACGGGGGAAAGCAGGGGAUCUUCGGACCUUGCGCUAAUAGAUGAGCCUAAGUCGGAUUAGCUAGUUGGUGGGGUAAAGGCCUAACAAGGCGACGAUCUGUAGCGGGUCUGAGAGGAUGCUCCGCCACACUGGGACUGAGACACGGCCCAGACUCCUACGGGAGGCAGCAGUGGGGAAUAUUGGACAAUGGGCGGAAGCCUGAUCCAGCCAUGCCGCGUGUGUGAAGAAGGCCUUUUGGUUGUAAAGCACUUUAAGCGAGGAGGAGGCUCUUAAGGUUAAUACCCUUGAUGAGUGGACGUUACUCGCAGAAUAAGCACCGGCUAACUCUGUGCCAGCAGCCGCCGUAAUAC
rnacentral:rRNA from 1 species